rnacentral:tRNA from 1 species
AGCUUGGUAGCUCAGAGGCAGAGCGAUGGGCUCAUAACCCAUAGGUCCGUGGAUCGAAACCACGCCAAGCUA